rnacentral:rRNA from 1 species
UACGUAGGGGGCAAGCGUUGUCCGGAAUCAUUGGGCGUAAAGAGCGUGUAGGCGGCUCGGUAAGUCCGCUGUGAAAGUCCAGGGCUCAACCCUGGAAUGCCGGUGGAAACUGUCGAGCUCGAGUCCGGAAGAGGCGAGUGGAAUUCCUGGUGUAGCGGUGAAAUGCGCAGAUAUCAGGAGGAACACCGGCGGUGUAGACGGCUUGCUAGACCAUAACUGACGCUGAGGCACGAAAGCGUGGGUAGCAAACAGG